rfam:TPA: Bos taurus chromosome 13, whole genome shotgun sequence.
UCCCUGGCGGUCCAGUGGUUAGGACUUGGCAUUUUCACUGUAAUAGCCUGGGUUCUAUCCCUAGUCAGGGAA